AACGAACGCUGGCGGCAUGCCUAACACAUGCAAGUCGAACGAGACCUUCGGGUCUUUUGGCGCACGGGUGCGUAACGCGUGGGAACCUGCCCUUAGGGUCGGCCUAACUCUGAGAAUUUUGAGCUAAUACCGGAUCAUGUCUUCGGACCAAAGAUUUAUCGCCUUUAGUUGUUCCCGCGUUGGAGUAGCUAUUUGGUGGGGUAAUGGACUUCCAAGGCCGCCAUCCAUAGCUGGGAUGAGAGCAUGAUCAACAACACUGGGAUUGGCACACGGCCCAGACCCUUACGGAAGGGAGCAGUGGGGAAUAUUGGACAAUGCGCGAGAGCCUGAUCCAGCAGUGCCGUGUGAGUGAUGAAUGCGUUAGGGUUGUAAAGCUAAGUUACUCGAGAUGAUAAUGACGGUAUCGGGAGAAUAAGCUCCGGCUACCACCGU
rnacentral:rRNA from 1 species